rnacentral:rRNA from 1 species
GAUGAACGCUGGCGGCGUGCUUAACACAUGCAAGUCGAACGAGGUAUUUCUUUUGAAAGGAUCCAGCUUGCUGGAAACGGACAUGUGAAAUACCGAGUGGCGGACGGGUGAGUAACGCGUGGAGAACCUGCCUUAUACCGGGGGAUAACAGUUAGAAAUGGCUGCUAAUACCGCAUAAGCGCACAGUAUCGCAUGAUACAGUGUGAAAAACUCCGGUGGUAUAAGAUGGAUCCGCGUUGGAUUAGCCAGUUGGCAGGGUAACGGCCUACCAAAGCAACGAUCCAUAGCCGGCCUGAGAGGGCGACCGGCCACAUUGGGACUGAGACACGGCCCAGACUCCUACGGGAGGCAGCAGUGGGGAAUAUUGCACAAUGGGGGAAACCCUGAUGCAGCGACGCCGCGUGAACGAAGAAGUAUUUCGGUAUGUAAAGUUCUAUCAGCAGGGAAGAAAAUGACGGUACCUGACUAAGAAGCCCCGGCUAAUUACGUGCCAGCCGCCGCAGUAAAAC